GAGAUAACUUUUCUCAAGAGACUCACGAUCUCAGUGGCGAUUUCGAGGCAUUUGGAAUCCUAGAGGUUAGAAUCCAAAGGGGGUGGUGAUGGAAAUAGGGUUCCUGUUCUGUGGUUUUCAGAGCCAACUUCAAUAGCCAGGGAAGAUAACGUAAAGCUAGAGAAACAGAGUUAAAAGAAAUUCAUGGGGUACUAAAGCAGUGUGCCAGCUUAAAGAAAAGCAAAAGCAAAGCAGAGGGCAAGGCUUAUGGGUCAGUGACCUUGCUCAUAAAGAUGCUUUUGAACAUUAUUCUCCUUCUUUAUUCUCCCUCUUUAGUUUAAUUUCCUAUUCUCAACGUUACUUUCUUCCCUUUGAUAGACAUUUUGGACAAAAUAUUUUCAGGAACUCAGAAGCAGUUUUGGUUAAUGGGUUAAA